GCGAUUCUGGUUUCCGUUUCCAAAAGUGGAACGAUACAGAGAAGAUUAGCGUGACCCCUGUGCAUGGAUGACACGGACAAAUCGAGAAGUGUACCCAGGAAAAAGUUUUU
rnacentral:snRNA from 1 species